rnacentral:rRNA from 1 species
GAGGAGAAAGGGAGUGGCGGCGGCGACGGUUCAGUUCGGUGCGGGUAGGUGGUGUCGGCAGCGAGCGCGGUACCGGCUCCCCUCGAGCUCGAGAAGAGGCCGAACUAGGAGCGGCAUCGGCAGAGGAAGAAGGUGCCCCUGCAGCAGAGGCAGCAGGUGCAGCGCAGGUGCUCGGAGCCUAGCUGGAGGGGCUGCUGGAGAAGAAGCCAAGAAGGAGACGAAGUGCCUGCGGUUCGGCCUCCGGCGAAGAGCCGCGGCUAGAGAGGAAGAAGAAGGAGCCCAGAUGGAGCGGCGGCCGAUUUAAGCAGCGCAGGGGCUCGAGCUAGCUGAGGAGGCUCGGGGAGAUGCACUCGUCGGUGCGAAGGGACAUGGAAAAAAGACCAACUAGUGGAGGAGACAGCGACCAACGAACGUACAGACUGUCAAGGAGGCGGUAGUGAAACCAGUGGCCGUUCCAACGGUACGAAGGAGACAAAGAAGUCGUGUGUGCGUCGCGGGGUAGACGUCGAGCGCGCGAAGGUGGUCCCGGACGGAUCGAAGAACAAGCAGCAUCGAGAGACGGGGCUCAGCUCGAGGUCGAGCACGGGCUCGCGUGCGUGCGUGUGCUGAGGCCGUUCUUCGUAGGCGCGCGAGCGCGUGGGCUCGUGGUGAGGAGACGUGCGUGACGGCGUACGGAGCGGGUCGCGAACGUGCGUGUUGUGGCUCCGAACCGGCGGUACUGGCUUUCGGAACUCGAGCACGACGUGGGCGGCAACGAGGCGCGGGCGCGUGUGCGUCGUCGUGGGUAGGUGACAAAGGCGUGGUGGCGGCCGAGUGGUGUCGUCGUCGACGGCGACGCAAACGAGCGGCCACUACGUAGGCACAUAAGCGACCUCUUCUUCUGAUCCGGAAGACUAGUAAGUUUUGCUCGACUCGAAGGGAAACGGCGGUUUGUAUCGUCGUAGAGUCACCAGAUCCGGUGCGUUAUGAUGUCCCCUCGGGGCUCUAGCUUGGAGGUGUCGACGCGUAAGAAAAAGGACGUUAAAACGUGGAAGUCUGAAACACUCGAAGAACGACGAAGUAGUCGACGGUUUGGGUAAGUCGUAGUACAUAGGUAAGAUCAAGUUGACCAAUUAGUGUGUCCGUAUGUACGUCCUCCAGGAACCAAGCUCAGGGUCCGUCGGGUUUAAAACGGAGAAUAAAUAGAAAACGUGUGGUGUGUCGGUCUGCGAGCCCGUACCGGGCUAAGACGACGACGACAACGGAACGCGUGUCUCGCGAGAUAUAGAUAGAUGGCGAGCGGCCACAUCGGGCACAUCGAGGUCAAAGUCGGGUAAAUCUAUAAAAGGGACAAGACCAAAAAAAAGGAUUUAUAGGUCACGUACGCAUAAAUGUCGUUUACGGUAGUAAAAUUUUACGAGUGUUGAUUUACAGGUACGUAGGUAUAUUUUGUACAAUAUAUACAUUGAACGAAUCUUAAAACGGAUCAAAGUAUUAUAUGGUGAAAGUAGGUACAAAUUUUACAGAUUUACACGACAAACUUGAUUAAACGUAUUUAUAGUACAAUUUUAUGAAAUAAAGUAUUGAUUUAUUGGCAUCGAGGUAAAAUUUAUUUGAAAUAUACAUUUACCCCAUCUUUUUACGUAUCUAAUUGAACUACGUGAAAUAAAACGACAAAUUGUUGUAAUUUUAACAAAUAUCCCGUCUUGUCAUGGUUUAGAUUUUAUACCUGUACUCCUAAAAGGCCUUAACAACAAACAACAAGGCCGGAGUAAAUAUGAACGCAUUUAUCAAUUAAAUGAAUACGAAGUGGAAAACGGUACAAAUUGUUGUAAAUUAUAACAACCCAUGUAUUGGUUCUCUCUUGAUUUAUUAGCAUACACCACAAAGCAGUUAUACGUUGAGCAACGUAUAACUCGAGGUGAAUUAAACAUCACAACAAACAACGUAAACGGUACGGUACUUAGUAAUUUGGCCUGUACGUAGUAUGAACUAACACGUAGUACGGUACAAAUACACUACCAACAAAUGGUACAACAAACAAAGAAAGGCCCAAACGGAGAAUAAAUAGAAAACGUGUGGUGUGUCGGUCUGGGAGCCCGAACCGGGCUAAGACGACGACGACAACGGAACGCGUGUCUCGCGAGAUAUAGAUAGAUGGCGAGCGGCCACAUGGGCACAUCGAGGUCAAAGUCGGGUAAAUCUAAAAAAGGGACAAGACCAAAAAAAGGAUGUAUAGGUCACGUACGUAUAAAUGUCGUUUACGGUAGUAAAAUUUUACGAGUGUUGAUUUACAGGUACGUAGGUAUAUUUUGUACAAUAUAUACAUUGAACGAAUCUUAAAACGGAUCAAAGUAUUAUAUGGUGAAAGUAGGUACAAAUUUUACAGAUUUACACGACAAACUUAAUUAAACGUAUUUAUCGUACAAUUUUAUGAAAUAAAGUAUUGAUUUGUUGGCAUCGAGGUAAAAUUUAUUUGAAAUAUACAUUUACCCCAUCUUUUUACGUAUCUAAUUGAACUACGUGAAAUAAAACGACAAAUUGUUGUAAUUUUAACACAUAUCCCGUCUUGUCAUGGUUUAGAUUUUAUACCUGUACUCCUAAAAGGCCUUAACAACAAACAACAAGGCUGGAGUAAAUAUGAACGCAUUUAUCAAUUAAAUGAAUACGAAGUGGAAAACGGUACAAAUUGUUGUAAAUUAUAACAACCCAUGUAUUGGUUCUCUCUUGAUUUAUUAGCAUACACCACAAAGCAGUUAUACGUUGAGCAACGUAUAACUCGAGGUGAAUUAAACAUCACAACAAACAACGUAAACGGUACGGUACUUAGUAAUUUGGCCUGUACGUAGUAUGAACUAACACGUAGUGCGGUACAAAUACACUACCAACAAAUGAUACAACAAACAAAGAAAGGCCCAACGAAGAGAGCAAUGGAAGCCAAAGCAAGGCCCCAACACUCCUAAGCAAGCUGAUGUAGGCAAACAGAAGAAGUACCUGAGCAAGAAGAAGGAUCGCCCUAAAGUCAACGUCCACGGCUGCUAUGGUCACGUCCACUACGAUGGCCUGGGUUCACCCUCAAGCUGCUCCUUGAACCAACAAUGAUACAAAGCAAAGGACUACUAGUCAUCACCUCGGGUCAACCCUGCUAGCCCCUAGAUCGUAAACCCCAACACAAGAAAGAAAACCAAGGCAUCAGCCUGGAUACACACAUGAGACCAACUACAUACUAAAUAAAUACAUAACACACUUCACCGCUAACAUUCGGUUGAGAGAUAGGGUAAGAACAAGUAAUGUACCCUAACACACUUCUACUGGGAAGAACGCUGUUUUGGUGUUACGCCAAUACGGAGAUUCAGCACGGAGCUGUGCACCCUCUAUAUCGGCGUAGCACCCGCAAUGUUCAACCAUUAGUCUCGGUAGGGGCUGAAUCCUCGGGGGACGAACUAGCUUAGCGACUGCAACAACUCAGAUCUUGUUUUUACAAAACGC